UACGGAGGGUGCGAGCGUUGUCCGGAAUCAUUGGGCGUAAAGCGCGUGUAGGCGGCUUGGUAAGUCCGCUCUGAAAGCCCGGGGCUCAACCCCGGGAGGCGGGUGGAUACUGUCAAGCUCGAGUCCGGAAGAGGCGAGUGGAAUUCCUGGUGUAGCGGUGAAAUGCGCAGAUAUCAGGAGGAACACCAAUGGCGAAGGCAGCUCGCUGGGACGUGACUGACGCUGAGACGCGAAAGCGUGGGGAGCAAACAGG
rnacentral:rRNA from 1 species